rnacentral:rRNA from 1 species
GGAAACCGGAGCUAAUACCGGAUAAUAUAUUGAACCGCAUGGUUCAAUAGUGAAAGGCGGCUUUGCUGUCACUUAUAGAUGGAUCCGCGCCGUAUUAGCUAGUUGGUAAGGUAACGGCUUACCAAGGCAACGAUGCGUAGCCGACCUGAGAGGGUGAUCGGCCACACUGGAACUGAGACACGGUCCAG